rnacentral:rRNA from 1 species
CGCGUGUACUGGUCCGGCCGGGCCUUUCCCUCUGUGGAACCCCAUGCCCUUCACUGGGGGUGGCGGGGAAACAGGACUUUUACUGUGAAAAAAUUAGAGUGCUCCAGGCAGGCCUAUGCUCGAAUACAUUAGCAUGGAAUAAUAGAAUAGGACGUGUGGUUCUAUUUUGUUGGUUUCUAGGACCGCCGUAAUGAUUAAUAGGGACAGUCGGGGGCAUCAGUAUUCAAUUGUCAGAGGUGAAAUUCUUGGAUUUAUUGAAGACUAACUACUGCGAAAGCAUUUGCCAAGGAUGUUUUCAUCAAUCAGGAACGAAAGUUAGGGGAUCGAAGACGAUCAGAUACCGUCGUAGUCUUAACCAUAAACUAUGCCGACUAGGGAUCGGACGGUGUUAUAUUUUGACCCGUUCGGCACCUUACGAGAAAUCAAAGUGCUUGGGCUCCAGGGGGAGUAUGGUCGCAAGGCUGAAACUUAAAGAAAUUGACGGAAGGGCACCACCAGGGGUGGAGCCUGCGGCUUAAUUUGACUCAACACGGGGAAACUCACCAGGUCCAGACACAAUGAGGAUUGACAGAUUGAGAGCUCUUUCUUGAUUUUGUGGGUGGUGGUGCAUGGCCGUUCUUAGUUGGUGGAGUGAUUUGUCUGCUUAAUUGCGAUAACGAACGAGACCUUAACCUGCUAAAUAGCCCGUAUUGCUUUGGCAGUACGCUGGCUUCUUAGAGGGACUAUCGG